UCAGGAUGAACGCUGGCGGCAUGCCUAAUACAUGCAAGUCAAACGAGAGUAAGCAAUUACUCUAGUGGCGAACGGGUGAGUAACACGUGGGUAACUUAUCUUAUAGACGAGGAUAACAGUUGGAAACGACUGCUAAUACUGGAUAUGUUGAUAUAACAAAGGUUUAAUCAAUUAAAGAUGCUCUUGGCAUCACUAUAAGAGAGGCCCGCGGUGCAUUAGCUAGUUGGUGAGGUAACGGCCCACCAAGGCAAUGAUGCAUAGCUGUGCUGAGAGGCAAAACAGCCACACUGGGACUGAGACACGGCCCAGACUCCUACGGGAGGCAGCAGUAGGGAAUUUUCGGCAAUGGAGGAAACUCUGACCGAGCAAUGCCGCGUGAAAACCGAUGAAGGUCUUCGGACUGUAAAGUUCUGUUGUUAGGGAAGAAUAAUACAUUUAGGAAAUGAAAUGUAGAUGACGGUACCUAACCAGAAAGCCACGGCUAACUAUGUGCCAGCCGCAGC
rnacentral:rRNA from 1 species